GAUGAACGCUGGCGGCGUGCCUAAUACAUGCAAGUCGAGCGAACAGACGAGGAGCUUGCUCCUCUGACGUUAGCGGCGGACGGGUGAGUAACACGUGGAUAACCUACCUAUAAGACUGGGAUAACUUCGGGAAACCGGAGCUAAUACCGGAUAAUAUAAUGAACCGCAUGGUUCAAUAGAGAAACACGGUUUUGCUGUCACUUAUAGAUGGAUCCGCGCCGCAUUAGCUAGUUGGUAAGGUAACGGCUUACCAAGGCGACGAUGCGUAGCCGACAUGAGAGGAUGAUCGGCCACACUGGAACUGAGACACGGUCCAGACUCCUACGGGAGGAAGCAGUGGGGAAUCUUCCGCAAUGGGCGAAAGCCUGACGGAGCAACGCCGCGUGUGUGAUGAAGGUCUUCGGAUCGUAAAACUCUGUUAUUAGGGAAGAACAGAUGUGUAAGUAACUAUGCACGUCUUGACGGUACCUAAACAGAAAGCCCCGGCUAACUACGUG
rnacentral:rRNA from 1 species